UGGAGCCCGCGACCGGGAUCGAACCGGUGACCUCCGCCUUACCAAGGCGACGCUCUGCCUACUGAGCUACGUGGGC
rnacentral:tRNA from 1 species